AUUGAACGCUGGCGGCAUGCCUAACACAUGCAAGUCGAGCGGCUUAAGGGGGCUUGCUCCUGUAUUCAGCGGCGGACGGGUGAGUAAGGCCUAGGAAUCUGCCUGUUCGUGGUGGAUAACGUUCGGAAACGGGCGCUAAUACCGCUUACGUCCUGAGGGAUCAAGUGGGGGAUGUUCGGAUCUCACGCUAUCAGAUGAGCCUAGGUCGGAUUAGCUAGUUGGUGGGGUAAAGGCCUACCAAGGCGACGAUCCGUAACGGGUCUGAGAGGAUGAUCAGUCACACUGGAACUGAGACACGGUCCAGACUCCUACGGGAGGCAGCAGUGGGGAAUAUUGGACAAUGGGCGCAAGCCUGAUCCAGCCAUGCCGCGUGUGUGAAGAAGGUCUUCGGAUUGUAAAGCACUUUAAGUUGGGAGGAAGGGCAGUAAGUUAAUACCUUGCUGUUUUGACGUUACCAGCAGAAUAAGCACCGGCUAACUUCGUG
rnacentral:rRNA from 1 species